rnacentral:rRNA from 1 species
CAGCCGCCGCGGUAAUACGGAGGGUGCAAGCGUUAAUCGGAAUUACUGGGCGUAAAGCGCACGCAGGCGGUUUGUUAAGUCAGAUGUGAAAUCCCCGAGCUUAACUUGGGAACUGCAUUUGAAACUGGCAAGCUAGAGUCUUGUAGAGGGGGGUAGAAUUCCAGGUGUAGCGGUGAAAUGCGUAGAGAUCUGGAGGAAUACCGGUGGCGAAGGCGGCCCCCUGGACAAAGACUGACGCUCAGGUGCGGAAGCGUGGGGAGCAAGCAGGAUUAGAUACCCCAGUAGUCCCUGUCUCUUAUAC